rnacentral:lncRNA from 1 species
AGCUUUGCUCCUGUUUCUUUCAGAGAAUGUUUAACUUUGGCUCCAACUUAGAUGUUUUGUUCUGGUUUCAGCAGACCAUUUGAACAAGACUGAAUUCUGUAUAUCAAUCACCUAGCAGGGUAAAGAAGCCUUGUGGAGGUCACUGGAGAGGAACUGGAUCUCAGUCAGCUCUGGCA